CCUACGGGAGGCAGCAGUGGGGAAUAUUGCACAAUGGGGGAAACCCUGAUGCAGCGACGCCGCGUGAGUGAAGAAGUAAUUCGUUAUGUAAAGCUCUAUCAGCAGGGAAGAAAAUGACGGUACCUGAGUAAGAAGCCCCGGCUAACUACGUGCCAGCGGCCGCGGUCAUACGUAGGGGGCAAGCGUUAUCCGGAUUUACUGGGUGUAAAGGGAGCGUAGACGGCAGUGCAAGUCUGGAGUGAAAGGCGGGGGCUCAACCCCCGGACUGCUCUGGAAACUGUACGGCUGGAGUGCAGGAGAGGUAAGUGGAAUUCCUAGUGUAGCGGUGAAAUGCGUAGAUAUUAGGAGGAACACCAGUGGCGAAGGCGGCUUACUGGACUGUAACUGACGUUGAGGCUCGAAAGCGUGGGGAGCAAACAGGAUUAGAUACCCCAGUAGUC
rnacentral:rRNA from 1 species